GGUAAUGCUCUAUAGUCCGGGAGGACUGGAAUGUUCUCCGGAUGAAAGAUCCGUCGCUUCAGGAUGAGUCUGCGGCCGAUUAGGUAGUUGUUGGGGUAAAAGCCCAACAAGCCUGUAAUCGGUACGGGUUGUGGGAGCAAGAGCCCGGAGAUGGAUUGUGAGACACGAAUCCAGGCCCUACGGGGCGCAGCAGGCGCGAAAACUUUACAAUGCGGGCAACCGUGAUAAGGAAACCCCGAGUGCCAGCACAGGCUGGCUGUCCGCCAGUGUAAACAACUGGUGAAGAAAGGGCCGGGCAAGACCGGUGCCAGCCGCCGCGGUAAUACCGGCGGCUCGAGUGGUGGCCGCUUUUACUGGGCUUAAAGGGUCCGUAGCUGGAUUCACAAGUCCCUUGAGAAAUCCAUCAGCUUAACUGCUGGGCGUUCAGGGGAAACUGUGGUUCUAGGGACCGGGAGAGGUAAGAGGUACUGCCGGGGUAGGAGUGAAAUCCUGUAAUCCCGGUGGGACGACCUAUAGCGAAGGCAUCUUACCAAAACGGCUCCGACAGUGAGGGACGAAAGCUGGGGGAGCAAACCGGAUUAGAUACCCGGGUAGUCCCAGCUGUAAACGA
rnacentral:rRNA from 1 species